GUCGAGGAUCUUCGGCAAUGGGCGCAAGCCUGACCGAGCGACGCCGCGUGUGCGAUGAAGGCCUUCGGGUUGUAAAGCACUGUCGAGGGGGAGGAAGCUCCGCAAGGGGUUGACCUAUCCCUGGAGGAAGCACGGGCUAAGUUCGUGCCAGCAGCCGCGGUAAGACGAACCGUGCGAACGUUGUUCGGAUUCACUGGGCUUAAAGGGCGCGUAGGCGGCCGCUCAAGUCGGGGGUGAAAUCUUUCAGCUUAACUGGAAAAUAGCCUUCGAUACUGGGUGGCUUGAGGGAGAUAGGGGUGCGCGGAACUUCCGGUGGAGCGGUGAAAUGCGUAGAUAUCGGAAGGAACGCCGGUGGCGAAAGCGGCGCACUGGAUCUUCUCUGACGCUGAGGCGCGAAAGCCAGGGGAGCAAACGGGAUUAGAAACCCGUGUAGUCC
rnacentral:rRNA from 1 species